rnacentral:rRNA from 1 species
UUCGAAGGUGCCCUCGGCACGGUAGGAAACCGUGCCAUAGAGUGCAAACGCAUAAGGGCGCCUGACUGCAAGGCCGGCAGGCCGAGCAGACGCGAAAGCGGGAGUUAGU